GCAAGUCGAGGGGCAGCAUGAUUGAAGCUUGCUUCAAUCGAUGGCGACCGGCGCACGGGUGAGUAACACGUAUCCAACCUGCCGAUAACUCGGGGAUAGCCUUUCGAAAGAAAGAUUAAUACCCGAUGGCAUAGUUCUUCCGCAUGGUAGAACUAUUAAAGAAUUUCGGUUAUCGAUGGGGAUGCGUUCCAUUAGUUUGUUGGCGGGGUAACGGCCCACCAAGACUACGAUGGAUAGGGGUUCUGAGAGGAAGGUC
rnacentral:rRNA from 1 species